rnacentral:lncRNA from 1 species
UUUCAUUCCUUUCCUUACCAUCUAGCUGCAAAAUAUCCUGUGGGUUAAAGGAUGGCACAUGGAAUGCGGGGUUUCAAAAACAACAAAAAGGGCUGUCUUUAAUGCUGUGCUAUAAGACGUUUUUCACUAAGGGAUUUUAAAUUAGUUUUCAAGGGGGGUUAUAUUCUAGCAUUCCUUCAAUGAUUCUGACAGAGAUGCAUGGACAAGACAAAUAUCUCAAGACAAACAUAUUUUGUAAUUCUAAAGUUUUAGGGAAAAAGAAGGAAAUUUGGAAUUCAUUUAAUCACACUGGCAAUUUGGUCAAAAUUAUAUAUAUAUUUUUGUAUCAUUGUCAAACAUAAUGUUAUCUUUGUAUCCACUUACAAUAUAAGCCUUUCAAAAGAUAUGUAAUGUGGAAGUGCCACGUUGUUUUUAAGUCUUUGUGACUAUGUCAGCCUUGAGACUGGGUAGGCAUGCCACUUUCCACUGUGUGACCACUAUUCUUGACAGUGGAAUGAGUUAUCACCGAAUGUUAAUGCCUCUCAUGUUCUCUUCAUUAUACAUACUCAUUUUCAUGACAAAGAGUGUAAAAGGAACAGAAUAUGGUGCAAAAUUAAUAUCUUCUCCUGACAAUCUGGAAGCGGUAUUCCAUGAUCUUACACUGAAGGCACAGCUGAGGACUUUGACAACUGUUUUGGCUUGUAAAAACUUAUUGCGCAUAUCUGAGAGAAGAGAACCAUGACUAUUGGUGUUGACUUCUGAUGAAUUCACUUACAACACUCAAGGAUUUCAAGCUGGAUGCUGUGGAUUGAAUCACCUUGAAUCACCUUUCUGACUGCCUUUGUAGAAACAUGGAAGUACUUUCUGGAAGUAGUCAUGGGUAUUUGUAAUAGUGGGUGGGAUUUCCAUCGGGGUCUUAAUUCUGUAUUCAGUCUGAGGUUAGCACAGCUUGCAGUAGACCAGGAUCACCAGUUUCCCUGGUAUAAUGAUUUCUGGUAUGUCCUUAACUUUUAGGUAUUUAAGUUUUUGUUUUACAUCAUUUCCUAUAUUUUGUAAAAUGCAAAUGUGUAAAAACACCUCCCCCUUUCAGGUAGGUGAAUGCUUCAAAUUAGCUUUAGUAAAUAUUUUAAAGGAAAGGAAAUGUUAAAGUUCAGAUUCUGCAUUUUCCUUGCCUCUGUCAUGGCACAGUUUAAACCCAUAAGUCUAAUCUUUUACUGGUUCAAGAAUCCACAUAUAUCUGUGCUUCCCUCUUUUUUCUUUUGAUAGAUGUUAAUAUAUUUUUGUACUCAUCUAUCUUGUUAUAUUACUCCAUUAUUAUUACUUAAUUGCACUGUUAUGAAGCCCAGAAUCAUUAACAUCUAACCCUUCACAAUAAAAGCAAAGUUGAACGGUUUGCA